CCAGCGGACAAGGAGGAUCCGGGACCUGGACCACCCGCUGCGGGCAGCGUCUCAGGCCCAGCGACAGCUUACACCGGCUCGGAGCCCCCAGGCCAGUCCAGCCCUGUCCAGGAAGGCGUGCCAGGCUGCCUUGUGCUCGGUGGUCCCGCGGGCGCAUCAGAAGCUAAAAAUAACCCUUCCCGGGAGAUCAGGGCAGGAAGAAAAAAGGAAGCCCGAGCUUGACGGAUCUGGCCGCCGCAGAGAAUGACGCGGGUGCCCCCACAGUCCCGGCUCCGGGCGGGGAGGGCGAGCCCCACAGCCAGUCCCGCGACGCCCUCCUGGGCAGCACCG